rnacentral:tRNA from 1 species
AGUAGUUCAAUUGGUAGAGCAGCGGUCUCCAAAACCGCGUGUUGAGGGUUCGAGUCCUUCCUG